GGAGUCUCUGUCAGGGGACGCACCGCAGCCUCAGGACCGCCUGGACCACGUCUGGACGAGGGUCGUUUGUGCGACCGACCGUCCCUCAUGUCGGGGAACGGCGGCAGGACCCGGGAGCCUCCUGAUCACGGAUACAAACACACAGCCCACGGGGGAUCUGAUAUCCGUCCACAGCCCGCCGUGCAGAUGGGAUUUAUCGAUCUGAUCCACGCGCUCACCUGUUUGUCUGCACACAGACUCAUGCACAUCUGGAGCCCCACUGAUGCUGCGUCCCUCGUUUUGCCACAUGUGGAUGUUUUAAGUCUCCAUGCAGGAGGAGGAAUCCUCCACGAUCACAGGAAGCCUCAGAUUUACCUUUUUUGCUGUUCUGAGAAACAACGGAGCCUGUUCCUGUCUUUGGUUAUCUAGCUGUAUGACUGUUAAUCAUCCAUCAUAAAGCUAGAUAACCGAAAGUAGGAAUGACCUCCAAAUCCUCCUCCACGAGGUGAAACCAGAAAAGAAACACCAACUCAGGAGGACAUCAAGUCUCUGCAGAAAUAGACCAUAAUGAAACUGGUGCCACAACAUGAUGUGGAGGAUCUUCAUAUCAGUCUGUUGGAUCCAGCAGCCAAAACCUGAAGUCUUGUCUCUGUGCAAUGAGACUGAAUAUAAUGAGACAACAUUUUGGAAGGUGUUUUGUGUCACUUUAUGCAAGAUAGACUGAACACAAAGUUACCAGUUCAGCAUAAAUAAAAUAUACUCACACUUUGAUGCUACAAAACAGCAUGUUUAAAGCAUUUUUUAUUUUGAAAACAUCAUACAGAUUCUUCAUUUUUUAUGUGUUGUAUGUUUAGAAAAAAAACUCAAUGCAAUUUCUGCAAAAUGAGCAAAAGUAUAAAUGGAUUUUUACUGUAAUUCCAGUUUAUUUGAAUUGAUUUUUGCCCCAAAUGGUUUUUGCCACAUUGUUAUUGUCUUUUUGUUUUGAAUUUUAUCAAUGUAUGAAUGAUUUGUCUGCAAAUUACACUGAUAAUCAUUUUGUAUGAACAUUUUAAGAAGAUAAUGUUGAAAGGUACUUAUUUGUUGAAAUUAUUCAAAUCUUAUUUGAGAUUAUUGAAGGAAGGUGAUUGAAAUGUAUUUGUUCUUUACUCAAUAAAAUGAUCCAGAAAUGUGAUGACUGUGUCUUCAUUCACUUUGCUGAAACAGUUCAUAAAGAAUAACGUCCAUCAGCACCUUGGACAGCGGCCGCUCACUGAAAACAUCAGGUGCAUGUUUUGAUUCAAAAACUGAUGUUGACAGAUGGUAGACGAAAAUGUUGGUUAACCUCGACAAUAGCGUGAAUGCAUCUUUUUUUCACAAAAGCUUGUUUUUGGGCAAAAAGUUCUACCGUGUUCCUGUAACAGUUUAGUUAGUUUCGAACCCUGAGUCCCUUGACUAAUUGUUGUGUGCAAACUUUGUUUUAAAAAAUAUAUUUGUAGGACUAUAAUGAAAAAGUACAGCAACUGGAAAAUGUCAACUGUCAGACACAAAAAUAACAUAGUGUCAUAACAGCAGUAAGACUGAAUCCACUCUCACUGUUUGUGCUGGCAUGUAGCUAUUUUUACUCAUUUCUAUCAUGCAAUCUAACCAGACAUGAAAUACAUGUUGGAGCUUUAAUCUCAAAUGAAAGUGUUGUAAACCAACAGUAAACCAAAUGUAAUUUUGUGGACUUUCUGUUGCCAUUUGGUUGUUUUACAGGAGCUUAAACUGCCUCAGGUCCAGAGAGCAUUAGUCUGCUGCUGGACAGAGUCUUGACCUUUCACUCUCUUGGGACACAACUUGAUCCGACACAAGACCGCAGACACGCGUGCAGGCUUUUCUUCUGAUGACCCCUCAGACUGUGUGACAAGCAACGUUUUUGUUGUUUCAUUCUCUUCUAUUCGGUUUCCACUGCUGCUCUAAUGUCAAACACCAAGAUAAACCUCGUGUUAAACCUAUAUUUAUACUAUAGUCUCUCAAAGAAAGAAAGAAAGAAAGAAAGAAAAAGAAAUCAAGCAAUCAGUGAGUGAGAAAAGUUUGUCCUUAGGGUAUAUUAAGACAGUGAAAGGUCAAAGUUCAGCUAAGGUGACAAAUUCAAGGUCAAAAACCAAUGAGUAGAACACGACUAAUGCAGAUGUUUGCAUACAGCCGCACUGUUUGCUGCAAUUAAGCAAAUUAAAUUGUAAUCCAGCCAUGCUCUGUGGCAUGUAGAAAAAUGCUCAGCAGACCCACUUGAUUCUGAUUUUCUGUAAGGGUUCAGUGUUGCGGCACAGAUGGCAGGAGCUUCAGUCACAGGGACUGGUCAACUUGUUAGUGUUUCAAUAGUAACAGGGUCUAAUAUCACCUCUGCAUUUAGAUUUAUGAGCGAGUUCAUCUGUAACUAUGGUUGAAAAUUGUGGGUGACACAUUUGAUGAUAGCGAUGCUUGUACAUUAGUGUGAUUUGUAAGAAUAAACAGAAGAGUAAUUCUUCCUCUGGUGACAGCAAAUGUCAGUGUAUGAUGUGAUCCAACUGUCAGUAGGAACAGUCAAUCAACAAUUACAUAGAGAGGAAUAAUAAGUUAGUAGAUCUGCAGUGAACACAUCGUUCCAAAGAUGAAUGUGCAUGUGAAAGUUAAGUAGUACAGAAACCGCAGGCACUGCUCUACAGAGAUGUGGAAAGAAUGGUCAGAUGAGUAAUCCUUUGCUUUUUUUUUUGAUGGAUAAGUGAGAACACCAAGAGAGCAGUACAUUCCUGAAUUCUCUUCACUGAGGGGAUCCAGUGGCUCUGUUUUACUGUGGGGGCAUUUUGCUGAUAUGACUUGGGUCCACUUGUCUCCUUAGAGGGAAAGUUCACUGAAAAUUCAUCCAAAGUUUCUCUUAGUGAUCACCUUUUUCACACCACAUUUCUCUUCCAGGACGACAGUGACCCCAAUCCGUAGGACCAGACUGAAUGGUUUGGUGAAAGUGAUGUGAAUAAUAUGAUUUGGCUUUUCUGGCAUCAAAAUACCAAAUGUGGGAAAAGCUUGUGGAAGAAUGGUGCUCAUCCCUCCAGAGUUACAGACUCACUGCCAAGAUGCAUUGAAGCUGCUGUGGUGGAAUGUCACAGUCACUGUACGAAGACAAUUUAUAGUUUUUCCUUUAAUUUGUCAUCUGUCUGUUUACAUAUACAUGUAUUAAAUAUCAGAAUUCCUUAAAAAACAGCAUUUGGUUUUGGAGAGGGUCUAGCAUUCUUGAUCAUGUUCCUGUCCUAAUGUGACAUUAUCUCCAAACAAAAGUCCUCAGAAAUGAUUUUUUUUUUUGUGUUGUGUUAUUGCCCAUGGUUUUCAGCUGACUGCAUACUUGUAGCUAUAGCAUAAAGUAUACUAUCACUGUUUUAGUUUUCAUUUUUCUGCAAAAUUUGAGUAUUAAUGUCUGAUUUAUCACUGCUACAUCUUAAAAAUCUGAAUUUUAGUUUCAAGGCAGCAUUGCAUAUAAUCAGUGGAUAAUAAAGACGCUUGUAGAGGCAUUUAUGAACAGAAUAAUAGGUUUUCUUUGCACAAUAAGUGUAAGUGCUGUAUGUGAAUCUGUCAGGCAGAGGUGACCAGAGGACGAGCUGCUGGCUUUAUCUGUUUUUUCUCAUGGUGCUUAACAUGAAUUCACUCAGUAAUUCUGCUUAAAUCUCCUACAUGUAAACAGAUAGAUGUCUGUUGUGUUAAUAGUCACUAGAAGUCAUAUUACUCACCAAAGCUGAGAAAGUAAUUUUGAGGCUGCAGUGUAGACUCACACUUCACGCCUUAGGAUCAUGACAUCCCAUUCAUUUAACAGCUCUAAACUAAAAUCUGGAUGAUAGGUGACAUUUUCCAUGAGACAGGACUGAAUUUAUGUGCUUGUCAGAGCUGUCACUGUGUAGCAUUGCAUUAGAAAACACAUACAUUCAAUUCGGCAUGCAGGAAGUGAGACGUUUAGGGUGAACUCAGACGUCGCUGCUCUACCUCAUGAAUGACGAGUAGGCAGCUGUAGACCAGGCUUGAGACUGUGGAGGGCUGCAGAUGAUUGUCCAGUCAUUUAUAUCUUCCAACUGAGUGAGCUUUAGGUCUUGUUCACUGCGUUUGCAUAAGAAUAGAAUCAGGUCCUGUGAACUUCCCCAACCUAUUGACCCAGCUCCCCAGACAUGAAUAGCUCUGCUUUGAGGCUCCCCAGCCUCUCAAACAGGCUUUAACCAUGCUUUAAGUCCCAAUCAUGGUAAUUUAAUAUAUCUUAAGCCCCUGGCUGUUUUGCUGGAGUCCCUCUACAGUUUGUUUUAGGCAUUCUCUGCUUCUCACCUCAUCAGCGCUACUCAGCGCCACAUUUAAGGGGCUGCUGUGGCACUACAAGUUCCUUUGUAGCAGCCAAAUAAGCCCGAGUUUCACAUAAUUAGAAAAAGUUUUUCCUAUUCUUUUUCAGUCUUUUGAUUUGAAAGAAAGAAGGAAACCUCACCAAGGUUAGCUAGAUGAAGAACAACAUGGUGAAACAGUCGGUCUAUUCAUCAGUGAACAGUGAUCACAUUAUAAUUUGAGUAACAUAAAUUUAUUUAUAUCAUGUCAUGUCCUUUGAAGGGAAGCUCAGAAAAAACAUUUGAAAAUGCUGAUAUAGAUAAUCCCAUGUGAGGUAGAGUCUCAUUUAUAUCUGUAGGUCACAAUAAAUGUUUAAAAAGAAAUAUUUUUGAAAUAUGUAAUAUUUGUAUUUAUAAAUCAAGAGCACAUUCAAGUAGACUGCAUUAUAGUCAUAUUUUUUCUGUUUUUCCUGCUGUAUUGUAUAGUGAUGUUGAUAUUUUUUUUCAUUUUGAAUUAUUAUUUUGACUUAACAUCACUUAGAAUAUGUACAUUUUUCAUAGUUUCAUAAUUUUUCGACUGUUUUGGGUUCCUGGUAGUCUUAUUAUUUGAUUUUGUUGGCCAAAUAAUAAGUCACGCAAAUAGCAGAAACUGCGCAGAUAAAAGGGCACAAUAUAUGUCCAUAUAAUGAUCAAAGUAGGCCUUGCAACAACACAGAGCUGCUUGUACUGCCCAGGAUUAUUAAAGAAGGUAUUCAGGGCUCCACAAAUACCCAAGAGCUUCUAAUAACAUGGAAAGAACAGGCCUAAAUAUAUAUUUAAGACACUUACAAUGGUGGAAUUUGUAACUUUUGCACAGAAAAUGACUAUUUCCCUUCUUUUCUGUUGCUUUUGUACAAGCAGCCUACAUGAGUCUCUGGAACUGAUAAUUAAACUAAAUGCAUGUCUGGACUUGCAACAUGACAGUGGAUGAGCCACAUGCCUGCUAAUUGGAUUGUAAAUUAAAAUGCCAUUUCAUUGACUCAUUGUUUACUGAGACAGACAAUAAAAGUCUGUUCAAAAAAUGUAAGUGGGCUCCUGGUACCUAUUAAAACUUCAUGAAAGCUGCAAUGGAAUUUAGAAACAAAAGACUUUUUAAGAAUGCCUUCAAUAAACAGUGAGGAGCCCAUUUUGUUUCAGUUUAUUGUUUUAUAUAGAACAUUGUACAGUAUGUGAUUGUACAGUAUCCGGGAAUCUCUUUAUUCAUGAAGAUAUCUGUUCUAUUCAAAGUGCCUCAAGUUGUGGACAUUUACACUUGAAAUGUAAUGUUUCGUUGUCAGCUGAACCUCUUCAUGGCUUUUAUCUUGUUAUCUAACAAACAGGCAGGAAAAUGUUUUUUUUCUUUCAUUUGUGUUACUAUAUCCCAAUUAGAAAUAUGCAAGAAAAAUGCACCUUAAAAGGUUCCAAUAGGCCCAUAUAUUUAGAAUACCAGAAAAUUAUCACUAGUUUUAAACUUAACAUGCUGUGUAUGUGAAAAUUUGACAUUAAUAAAAUGAUUUUCUACAGUAUUUGUAGAUGUGAGGAA